rnacentral:tRNA from 2 species
UCCGGGGUGGCGCAACCGGCAGCGCGAGGCACUGUUAAUGCCGAGGUUGAGGGUUCGAGUCCCUCCCCCGGAG